rnacentral:lncRNA from 1 species
GCAGCCAACAACUCAUUUGGAAAAAAAAUGGAAAAGUUAGAGAGAGAAAUUGGAUCUAAGGAGAAACCCUCAGGACUAAGCAUUUUAUACCAAUUUUGAGUUGUUUGAUAUCUAUAAUGUAGAUCUUGUGUGUCUAUAGUGAUAUAGCUUGAUCCCAAGCUAAAAGAAGCCUAUUUCUUUGCUCCCCAAGGUGAAAAACGCGCAUCUUUCGUCAUUUCAUUGGUAAAUAUUGUUCUAACCACUAGAUCUAUUUCAUGUAUUGUUUGUACCUAGUCAGACUUGUUGGUUUACAUAUAUAUUAUGUAGUAAUUGGUAGAUCCAGAGAUUUUACCGAUUAUUUUCUGUAUGCAUAUUUGGAAACCAAGUCUAGGGACUAGAUCUAGCCGAAUCUAGCACUUUAAACGGUUAUGGAGCUCAAAACUCUAACCUAUAUGCUAGAUCAUUCUUGAUUUUAUUAUUUUAUAUGCAACUGUUAUACUGGUUAUAUUAUUUAACUUUGUUUCGGCUGAUUGGGUGUUUUUGUUAUAUCAUUAUUCAUAUUACCACGUAUUUUUCUCUUAAUUUGUGUUGCUUUUUAUUCAAUGGAGUUUGGUCGCUUUCUGUUGCGAUCUGGUUUUUUAGGUGAGUGUUGUUCUUGGUGGAGGAUCUGCAGUUUCCUUUCCGAUCUGGUUUCAUGAUUUUAUUGCUUAUCUAUGACAUGAUCAGAUUUGGGUUUAGUUUUCAGUAGAUGUCGUUGCUUGGAAUCCACUGUGGUUUAUUCUCUGCUGGUUUUGGGGGUCUAUGCUGAAGCUUAGCCAGAAGUUAUGGUUUGGUGAUUCAUCGCCGGAAUUUCACAUACUGUUCCAUCGGCUCUUACUUGGGCUGCUACCUUGCGGUUCUGAUGGGUUGUCAGAUCUGGGGGUUUGCCGAUGGUCUGUUCGCCGAUCUGGAUCUGCUCCGGCAGUUAGCCGAUUUCCUACUGAUUGGUUAAGUGUUGUAGGGGAUGUCACGUGGGGCUGACUGGCUGUCCCCCACGUGUGGGUUAACCUCUUUGGUACAUGUGAUAUUGACCCUUUUAAAACUUUGAAACCAAAUACUUUUGAAUGUUGGAGUACAUGUGCUAAUGGUCUGCAUAUGUUGCUCCUGCUGGCAUGUGCAGCUACCAUGAUGGGCUGAUAUUUGAGUUCCACUAUCCUUAAUUCAAACUGAUGGUGGAUCUUUAUGUAGCUGUUAUUUUCCUGAAUUUAGUUAAAGGAUGAAUUACAUAUUUUAUUAUAUUUUUGAAAAUAAUUAUAACAAUAGUGUACUCAUAAAAUAUUUACAUAAUUAAUACAAUUUCAUAUUUAUUUACAAUAUUAGUGCAAUUAGAAUUUCUUAAUUUAGAGAAUUAGUAUGCAAUUAUGAUUUCUUAAUUUAGGGAUUAAUUAUCCCCAUGACUUCUUCUUUCUCUCCUCAUCUAGAACAACUGCAUUACUUAGUCAUCACCCUUCUUCUUCAUUUGACGUAUUCUUUAUAUAUAUUUAUUCCUCUAAAAGCAGUAACCGCGAGGAGGUGAUAUUUGCUAUUAGGCUGGGGCUGGGGCUGGGGGAGUGGGGGGCGAGGAGGGAUAAAAGGUCAAGUUCUCACUUAAAGUCAUUAUUCCUACUACUUCUCAUUUACCGUGAAUAGAGAAAUGCUUAGUAUGUGAAUAACAUGUGUCUUGUAUAAGAAUUUGGAUAGGUUCACAUCGUGGAAUAUAAGAUUUUGAAAGCUUCUUCUUAUAAUACAUUAGGUAUGACGAAGGAGGUCAGUUGACAGAAACUGUCCGCAGGAGGCCAUAUGCAGUUAUUUUGUUUGAUGAGAUUGAGAAAGUUCAUUCUGACGUGUUCAAUGUGUUCUUUCAAAUACUGGAUGAUGGUAACCAAACCUUCAUACCAAAGUAACCAAACUGUCAUAUUAAAGUAACCAACCAACCUCCACACUUUAAAUUUUUUCUUAGUGCAGUUGGUAACCAAAUCUUCAGAAGGUAAACAAACUUUCAUACCAAGGUAACAAAACCUUCAUACCACGGUAACCAAUUCACAACCACACCUGCAAUUUUUUCAUAGUACAGUUGGUAGCCAAACCUUCAGACCAAGGUAACCAAUUUAAUUUUAUUAAGUUACCAAUUUCGUUAAAAUAUGAUGCAGUUGGUUGCAAACCAUUCAUACAAAAGUAAUCAUUUUAGUAUUUAUGAGUAACAAAAUGUCAUAAAAAAAAUUUAGAGCAGUAAAAGUUACAUCUAUUUAUUUUAAAACUUUUUGUAGGACGAAUCUUCUUCUUCUUCUCAUUAGCCUUUUGGACAACAGAGAUUUGCGACGGUAUAGCGGCGGAGUAGCGGAAGAGAAGCCGGCGGGAAGAGAGAACUAAAAAAGUAAAAACUGAAAUAGAGCCCAAUUUACAUGUACAAAUAUUUUAUUUAUUUAUUUAUGAACUAUUAUUUCAAAGUGUAUGUGAGGGAGAUAAAGAUUUGAAUUUCAAUAUUUGAAUUUGAAUUAUUAUUUUGAAUUUGAAUUUAUUUUUGUUGUUAGAUCUCAAAUAUUUGAAUUUAAAUUAUUAAGUAUGGAAGUUAGUUCUCCUUGAUUUUAGGUUUUCUUAUUAAUGUGAAUUGUACUAUUUUUGUAAUAUGGGUCCUAAUUACACUCUUUUCGUAAUUAUUUUGUUGAUGCACUAAUGGUGUAAUUACUUUCUAAUUGUUGUAUAUUUCUGUAAAGAAACCUUUAGUUAAUGUUCUUCGAGUCUUUUAAGCCCCACAUGAGUCUAAUUUGGGCCCACGAUUUUGCAACUAAAUUUGUUGAUUUAAAUUACCUAACCUCACGUUGUGAGGAAAAUGUAAUUUGGUUAGGUAUUCUUGUCUCCUAGGCUUUUUAGAUGUUUUAGACCUCUCGGGAGAUGAGGACUAUGCUUUGAUCUUCAUUGUAAUAUGUGACGCCCCCAAAUUCGGGUAUUUUCCAACCCAAUAGAUGGUGCUACACAGUGUUACUGUUCACACAUGCAUUUAAUUAAAAUAAAUCAAUAGAGUGAAUAUGUCUACUAUUUAUUACAUAAUAAUAAUUCCAUUCCCAGGUUCUUUGUAAUCAUUACAUAUGUUCUUCAUCAUAGUAUCAAAUUAAUAUAAAAGUAGUACUAUUCUAUUAUAAGGAUAACUAUUUGUCUACCUUGGUCUUCCCUUUGUCUUUACCAGAACUUUUGUGCUAAGUCCUCCCAUGUAGUAAUUGAUCCAGAAGGCAAAGAAUGAAGCCAACUGCUUGCCUUAUCCCUCAAAGAGAAUGGAAACAACCUCAGUCUAAUAGCAUCCUCCGUCACCCCGUUGUAUCUGAAUGUAUCACAAAUCUCAAUAAAGCUCAACAGGUGUUCAUUCGGAUCAUCUGUAGUAGCACCCCCAAACUGUACCGAAUUCUGCACCAUCUGAAUAGUGCCCAGUUUAAUCUCGAAAGUAUUUGCUGCUAUCGUCGGUCUGACUAUGCUCGACUGUAGUCCAUUAAUGUUCGGCAUGGAAUAAUCUCUUAGAGCCCGGUGCUCUUCUCUUUGCUCUACUCUUUGUUCUUCUGCCAUACUAGAUGUAGUAUCCUCUAACUAUGCUUGCAAAUUUCUCCACACACUCGCUUUCCAACCUCUUCCAUUAAUAUUAUCCUAUGCUGGUAUCAAGUUUGAGUUGGAUGAUCGCGUGUGCAUAAAAAUUAUACAAGUACCUGACACAAAAACAAAAACAAAAAUAGAGUUGAGAUAAGAUUAGAUUUGUCUAAGUCAUACAAUAUAGCUUAAAAUUGAUGAUAAUUAUUUAAAUUUAAACACCUUUCCCCGGCAAUGGCGCCAAAAACUUGUUGCCUCUUUUUUAGUUCUAACAAAAGAGCUCUAAGUCAUGCAAGCAUACAUGUGUCAACAAGCAGUACAGAGUAAGUCGAGUAUCGAUCCAUGGAGAAGGAUGACUAAAUUAAAUUAUUAUGCAUCAACUAAAUUACUAUUUUUAUAUGCUUAAACUAAUGCUUAUAAUUGUGAAUUAUUCUAAACGCAAAGGAUAACUAAAACAAGAAUAAUAAUGUAAUAAAUCAAAUCUGGAAAUAAUGGGAUCCUAACUUCAUUUAAUAGUUCAUCUAACUACCACCAUCAUGCAAGAUUGUUCACGUAUUACAGAAGAGUAGCUAAGAGAACUAAAGCAGACAUAACCAUUUUUCAAUGUAUCAUGGCCUACUCACAUAACAUCCACAUACAAUAGACAUCAUGUAAUCAUCAAUAAAACCAAUUUCACUAUAUUUCUAUGUGAAAUUACACCCUUAUCGAAUUUAAACACAAGCCCUUACAUUAACUCAUACGGUGAAACAAUAUAUGUCUAUCUAAGUCACGAAAUACAAAGCUACACAAAACAGCCUCAUAUACGCAUGCUAUAAUGAUUACAAUCCAUACUCGCAUGUUAUUUUUCAAUACCAUACAAGUACCUAAAACGAAUGGUGAUCAAUCAUUCAUACAUGGAAAACAACCUUGAUAGAAAUUCCUUAUGAUACGCAAAACAAUUCAGCAGUCAAGCAUACAAUUAAACUACAUAUUAAAAUCCGUUAGAAUCCCAUAAUGGAGUUUAGCUCACGACUGAACCAAAAGCCAUUGUGGGAUCAAAGCAAUAUAUAGAUAAUAAGCAAACAAUUGAAAGAGAAAAGAUAGAAUCAAUCAAACCCAAUUGCUAAUUCCAAUCCAGUAGUUACGUUAAAAUCCACACUAAAAUCCAGUAAAGUAACAAUAGUUCAUCCACAGUGAUUGAAAAUCCAAAGAAGAAGUAGACGAUAUGAUGUUUUGGCUUAAUUCUACGUUGGAAAUCUCUCAAAGUGUAAAACCCUAGUUCCAAUAUCAAAAACACAUAAAAACUACUGAAUAAUAUGUCUGGUACCGACCAGAAAUUAUUUUUUAACCAACUACAACUCUUCAAAUUUAAAAAUUAAAAUAAAACAGAUCAGCAGCAUCAGGUGUCGCGCGCGGGCAUGCGAUUCCCUUUUGUAAUCAUCGCGCGGGUGCGCGUGUGCAAAGUCUGGUCCAUCUGAUUGAUUGUGCGGGUGCGCGAGUUUAUUCCUUUGUAGCCGCGCGGUCGCGCGGCUUCUGCAGUUUUGCUUCUGUGUUCUGUUGCUACUACAACUUUGUCCUGCUGCUCAUUCUUGUCCUACUGCUCAUUAUUUUGUCCACCAAUGCUUGGUUUCUUUGCUCCACUCGAUCCUCAUGGUGUGCCUUCAUUGAUCACAUGCCAUCUACCAUCGCCAAGUUAUGCCAUAUCCUGCACUUUUACACCAAAGGAGUUCUCAGUACAUGCAGUGCAAAAUAUUAAGAAAUGCAACUAAAAACACAAUAAAAUGUACUUGAGAUGGGCAUAGUUCUCGUAAAUUGAUAACCAAUAAGUAGGUAUAAAACCCACUUAUCACUUAUGUGCAUAUAUGAACUGUUUAUUGGUAUGAUUAUGACCAGGAAUCAUUCGGUAUAAUCAUGACCUGUAAUGUUAUAGAUGAUGUGGUAAAAGUCCUCAUUGGCCCGUAGUGCAUUGAUGGAUAGUUAUUGGUAUGAUUAUAACUAGGGAUUAUUCGGUAUAAUCAUGACCAUUGACGAUUACAUGAAUAUCCUUGGACGUAGUGUAGGGAUAAUUCGAUGAUGUGGAUUAUUUAUUAAGUUGAGUCUCAGCGAUAACAUAUUGAUUAUACACUUUUAAUUCGUAAAAGAUAGUAGAUAUCAUGCUCUACUUGACUCUUCUAAAAUACAGUUAUAUGUCUUUGGCCUAUAGUGCAAAGAUGAAUUUAUUAGUAUGAUUAUAAGCAGGAAUUGUGAUUUGGUAUAACCAUAAUUUUUGAUGUUCCAGGUGAAGAUAGGUGAUGAAAAUUAUCUUCGUCCUGGGUGCAAAGAGGAAUUUAGAAUCACAAUUAUGAUUAUGAGUUAUUCAUAUGAUUGUGGACAGGAAUUGUUAAUUGAUGUUACAGGAAUAAAACAUUAUUAGUCGACUUUUAAUAUGGAGAAGAUAAUAGACCUGAUGGUCUAUUUGACUCUUCUAAUGGAUUGCUCGUUCCAUUGCAACUAUGGUUGAAAAGUUUUAUCAUCUACCAUAUGUUCUAAAUNNNNNNNNNNNNNNNNNNNNNNNNNNNNNNNNNNNNNNNNNNNNNNNNNNNNNNNNNNNNNNNNNNNNNNNNNNNNNNNNNNNNNNNNNNNNNNNNNNNNNNNNNNNNNNNNNNNNNNNNNNNNNNNNNNNNNNNNNNNNNNNNNNNNNNNNNNNNNNNNNNNNNNNNNNNNNNNNNNNNNNNNNNNNNNNNNNNNNNNNNNNNNNNNNNNNNNNNNNNNNNNNNNNNNNNNNNNNNNNNNNNNNNNNNNNNNNNNNNNNNNNNNNNNNNNNNNNNNNNNNNNNNNNNNNNNNNNNNNNNNNNNNNNNNNNNNNNNNNNNNNNNNNNNNNNNNNNNNNNNNNNNNNNNNNNNNNNNNNNNNNNNNNNNNNNNNNNNNNNNNNNNNNNNNNNNNNNNNNNNNNNNNNNNNNNNNNNNNNNNNNNNNNNNNNNNNNNNNNNNNNNNNNNNNNNNNNNNNNNNNNNNNNNNNNNNNNNNNNNNNNNNNNNNNNNNNNNNNNNNNNNNNNNNNNNNNNNNNNNNNNNNNNNNNNNNNNNNNNNNNNNNNNNNNNNNNNNNNNNNNNNNNNNNNNNNNNNNNNNNNNNNNNNNNNNNNNNNNNNNNNNNNNNNNNNNNNNNNNNNNNNNNNNNNNNNNNNNNNNNNNNNNNNNNNNNNNNNNNNNNNNNNNNNNNUAUUAUUAUGUUGGAAUAACCUGUCUAUGCGAAGUACCGCAUACAUGGUGAAAUUCUUCUAUUAUUUCAUUCUUUAUUAUUCUGUUGGAAUAUCCUUUCUGUGCGGAUUACGCAUGACCUAGUUCCAUUCUUUAUUAUUCUGUUGGGAAUAACAUGUCUGUACGGUCUAUCGCAUGCCUGGUGAAUUCUGUUGUUAUUCCAUUCUUUAUUAUUCUGUUGGAAUAUCCUAUCUAUGCGGAUUACGCAUGACCUGGUUCCAUUCUUUAUUAUUCUAUUGGAAUAUCCUAUCUGUGCGGAUUACGCAUGACCUGGUUCCAUUCUUUAUUGUUCUUUUGGAAUAUCCUGUCUGUGCGGAUUGCGCAUGACCUGGUUCCAUUAUUUAUUAUUCUGUUGGAAUAACCUGUCUGUGCGGUCUAUCGCAUGCCUGGUGAAUUCUUCUGUUAUUCCAUUAUUUAUUAUUCUGCUGGAAUAACCUGUCUGUGUGGACUAACGCAUGCAUGGUGAAUGACCCUUCAUAUUUAUUUCUUAUUAAAUUAUGGAAAUGAUCUGUCUACGUGGAUUACCGCAUGGCGGGAAAAAUCCAUUUGCAGUUUCAUAUACUCUAUUAUACUCAGUUGGUUAAAGUUUUGGCUUCUAUACUCCAUGAAAUUAGUAGAAUAUCCUGGAUAUUUGCACUUCAUCCAAUAUCUUUUCAUGGAAAUAUUCCUCUGAGCAUUCUUGAAUUUUACUCUACAAAGUAGUAUCACGUUGACAAUUUGGACGUUAUUGAUUUCUGGAUAAAUUAGAUUAUAAAUCUUUAAAAUUUAUCCUUGAACUUGUUUUAUUAAAUUAUUAUGUCAUUGUCAUCAUCCUCAUGCUUAUAUUGUGAUGAAAGUCAUAUUUGGUUUACGUGCAUAGAUGGACUCGGCAUGAUUAUGACCAGUGAUUAUUCGGUAUAAUCAUGACCGUAAUGUAACGAAUGAUGUGGUAAAAGUCCUCAUUGACCUGUAGUGCAUUGAUGGACAGUUGUUGGUAUGAUUAUGACCAGGGAUUAUUUGGUAUAAUCAUGACCAUUGAUGAUUACAUGAAUAUCCUUGGUCGUGGUGCAGGGAUGAUUCGAUUUUAUUUAUUAAGUUGAGUCUCAGCGAUAAAGUUGAUGAAAAACUUUUUAAAUCAUAGAAGAUAGUAGAUUUUAUGCUCUACUUGAUUCUUCUAAUGGAUUGCUUAUUUCCGUUGUAGUUGUUGAUCUAAAACUUGUUGUUUAUUGUAUUCUAUCAGUUGUUAUAUUGUUGAAGGCUAAGGAUAAUUUAUUCUGCAUUCUCUUAGUCAUAAUAUUUCUUACUGGGCUAGUUGAGCUCACCCUUUCUUUCAUUGUUCUCUUCAGGAAAUGAGACUAUAGCUGGGACGAGUCGGGGAAUGGAGUGAUGGUCCAGGAUAAAUGGCUUUAGUAGUCCUCACUAUUCUACGGAAUAAUGUGAUAAUAAUUGUAAUGAGGUCACCAUUGAGUGUGGAUAUUGUCUAGAUGACAAUAUUCUUGUUUAAACUCUCAGCUAUGUUUUGUCGUAUUUUACACGACUGUUGUAUAAUUAAGUUGUAUUUGAAUUUAUGUACCAUGUAUCUGGCGUCUCAAGAUGGGUGACGUAUACCUAUUUUGGGGGCGUCACAGUAAGUAAUAUUAUUUCGUUUCAGAUUCCAAAUUCUACACUCAGUUUGUUAAGUAUUGCUUCUAAACUCCUUGAAAUUAGUAGAAUAUCCUUGAAAUUUGCGCUUCAUCUAGUAUCGUUUCACAAGGAUAAUUUUCUAAACAUUAUUGUUAAAGUAUAAUCUUUUCAUGCUGGAAUACUAUUCAUGAGGUACUAUUCAUAAAGUACUAUUCAUGGGUACUAUUCACUCAGGUACUAUUCACCUGGGGUACUAUUCAUGACAAAAAUUGAUUUCUUUUCUAUCCAAAUCAUUUUUGAUACAAUAUUAUUCUUGAAUUUUACUCCACAAAAUAGUUUCAUGUUAACAAUUUGGACAUUAUUGAAUUCUGGAUAAAUUGAAUUAUAAAUUUUUAAAAUUUAACCUUGCUCUCAUUUAAUUGAAUCAUUGUCAUCAUCCUCAUGCUUAUAUUGUGAUAAAAGUCAUCUUUGGCCCGUAGUGCAUAGAUGGACUGUUGAUUGGUAUGAUUAUGACCAGGGAUUAUUCGGUGUAAUCAUGACCUGUAAUGUUACAAAUGAUGUGGUAAAAGUCCUCAUUGGCCCGUAGUGCAUUGAUGGAUAGUUGUUUGGUAUGAUCAUGACCAUGGGUUCUCUUCGGCCAAGGGUGCAAAGAUGAAUUGUAGAUUGGCAUGAUCAUGACCACUGGUGAUAAUAAUGAAUAUCCUUGGCUCGUAGUGCAUGGAUAAUUCAGUGUUGUGGAUUAUUUAUUAAGCUGAGUCUCAGCGAUAAAAGUGAUGAUAAACUUUUAAAUCAUAGAAUAUAGUAGAUAUCAUGCUCUACUUGACUCUUCUAAUGGAUUGUUAUUUCCGCUGCAGUUGUUGAUCUAAAACUUGUUGUCUAUUAUAUUCUAUCAAUUGUUAUAUCGUUGAAGGCUAACAAUAAUUUAUUCUGCAUUAUCUUAGUCAUAAUAUUCUUUACUAGGCUAGUUGAACUCACCCUUUUCUUUCAUUGUUCUAUUCAGGAAAUGUGAAUAUAGUUGGGACUAGUCAUGGAAUGGAGUGACGGUCCGAGAUGGUUGCCAUAGUAGUCCUCACUAUUCUAUGAAAUAGUGUGAUACUUAAUUGUAAUGAGGAUUUAAGUUGAGUUUAGAUAUUGUCUACGAGACAAUAUUCGUGUCCAAACUCAGCUAUUGUGAUGUCGUAUUUUACACGACAGUUGUAUAAAUUAAGUUUGUAUUUAAGUUAUGUAUCAUGUAUUUGGCGACUCAAAAUUAUUUGUGUAUACCAAUUUUGGGGGCGUCACAAACGUUGCUUCACCCACCUCGUCCCAAUAUAUUGGAGAAUGACACUUUUGUCCAUACAACACCUCGAAUGGAGCCAUGCCUAUACUUGAUUGAUAACUGUUGUUGUAGGAGAAUUCAACUACUGGAAAGUACUUGUCCCAACUUCUUUUGAAGUCUAGGACACAAAGUCUUAAUAAAUCUUCAAGAGUUUAAAUAGUCCUCUCUGACUGCCUGUCCGUAUGCGGAUGAUAUGUAGAAUUGAAUCGUAAAUCCGUGCCCAUAGCUUUCUGCAAACUGACCCAAAAUCGUGAAUUAAAUCUUGGGUCUCGAUAAAAAACUAUGGAUACUGGCAUACCAUGCAGUCUUACAAUUUCAUUUAUGUAUAUACGAGCAAGACAUUCAAGUGAAUAAGUUUCACGUAUAGGUAAAAAUGAACAAAUUUGGUUAAUCUAUUGACAAUGACCCAAAUUGCAUCUAUGCCUUGAGAAACCUUGGGAAGACCAGUAACGAAAUCCAUGUUAAUGUGAUCCCACUUCCAUUCUAGAAUUUCAAGUGGUUGCAAUGGACCUUUUGGUACUUGAUGCUCUGCCUUGACACGUUGAUAAGUUAAACACCUUGAGAUAAUCUCCGCGAUUUCUCUCUUCAUAUUGCUCCACCAAAAUAUAUGUCGAAGAUCACGAUACAUUUUGGUACUUCCAGGAUGGAUUGCAAAGGGUGUGUUGUGUGCCUCUAUCAUGAUUUUAUACUUUAAAUCAGAGUUGUUAGGAACACAAAGUUUGGAGUUGACUCAAAGUAUUCCUUCUAUGUCGAUUCUUGCUUCUGGAAUAACACCUUUUUACACUUUCUUCUUCAUACGCAUCAGCUACGGGUCUAUAGCUUGAGCAACUUUAAAUUUAUCGAUUAAAGUCGGUUCUACUCGUAUAUUUGACAUCAUCACCAGGGUCCCUGAAGUCUUUAACUCUAUCUCCCUUUGCAAGUCAUACAAAAUGGGCUUUUAUGUUGACAAUAUCAGACUCGUAACUGCAUAUGAUCUUCUGCUCAACGUGUCAGUUAUCACGUUCGCUUUUCUAGGAUGGUAUUGAAUGGUAUGAUCAUAAUCUUUCAACAGCUCAAGCCAACGUCGUUGCCACAUGUUUGGUUCCUUUUGGGUGAAAAAAAUAUUUGAGGCUUUUAUGAUCUAUAUAGAUCUCCACUUUCUCCCCAUACAGGUAAUGUCUCUAGAUCCUUAGAAUGAAAAUGACUGCUGCCAACUCUAGAUCAUGAGUAGGAUAAUUCCUCUCAUAUUCUUUGAGUUGUCGUGAGGUAUAUGCUAUGACUGUAAUACCCACGAAUUUUAAAUAAAUUAUAAUAUUGAGAAUAAAGAUUGUUUGAAUAUUUAUUUGAAUAUAAAUAUAUAUAGUGUUGACAUGAGUUGUGGUAAUUAAUUUAAUUGAAUAAACAUGUGAUAAUUAAGCAAUGUAGUAGAAGUGAUGAGAAGCUUAGUUUAAGCUUGUAAAGUUAUGCCUAGUGUGGCAAAGUGGUGAAAUGAGAAAGUACUAAUGAACUAAAUUAAUUAGUACUAGUAAUAAAUGAAUAAUUACAUAAUGUGAUUGACUAAUUCCUAUUAUCAUGAACAAUAGCAUGUAAGGAGAAAUCAUAUAUAAUAAGGUUUUUCCUUUAAUAUAAAAUGAGGGGUAACAUUGGAAUGUGAAUAAAUAUUAUAUAAAACUAUAUGAUAAAAGUAAGCUCAACUUAUGUAAUUUACUAAGUUGUGUGAAAGAGUCUUAUGUGACAUCAUGAUGUGCGUGGGAGUAAUUAAAUGUGUAUUUUAAACCUAUGAGGGAAAAUAACUUUGACUAAAUAAAUAAUUAAUAUUAAAUGAUUAUUUUAAUAAUUAUGUAGAAUUAGAAUAAUUAGUUUUAUGGAAAGUAAUAUUGGUACCCAACUAAAGUAUAUCCUAGUUUAAUGUAAAUAUUAUUUGAAAUAAACCAAUGUAAAUGGAUUAUAUAAUUCUGGGAGUAGGUGUAUAUGUAUUCUCAUUUGUGGACAAAUAUCAAAUAAACCUAAGUAUUCUAAGUAAUGGUUUUGAUAAAUGCUGAGUAUUAUAGUAAUGUCCCAAAAUGAGUGUUUUGUUCUUUUAUUCUUCACGUAAUAGGCCAUUGGCCUAGAAACUCAUUUCUAACUUCAGUGAUAGCAAAUAAUGAUGAAGGGAGUGGUAUGAAUAGUGCUCUUCCACCAAAUCCUUCAUACCCAUCAGCUUCUUAUAAAUGGAGCCCUUCUCAUUCAUAGGCUUUUUGCUAAAUUCUUUGUUAAACUUCAAGUUGUGUGUGUGGUUGGGUUGAGCAUAUACAAUCUGCAAAUUAAAGCUAGAGUAGCAAUUCGACUUCACAGAAAGUAAUAUCCAUUUAUAUGUUAUUAAAUUCAAGUUUUGCAAAGUUCUUAGAAAAAUGUUAAAAAUACUUGUUUUGAGUUAAAAAGUUUAUGGUUGAAGCAUGAUAAAAUAUGUUAAUUGAUGCUAGACCUUGUUAAUAUGGUUAAAUACAAAAUCAACGAAAGUUAAACGAAGUAAUUUGGUCGAGUAACGAAUCUGUAGUGAAGAGAAUCGCUAAAUGUGUUAAACUUUGGAAAAAUGACACAAAUCUUGAAUUGAUUCUUGAAUUUUAUUGUUUAUGUGAUUGGAAUCAUUAGAAGCAUGCUAGGGAUGUUUAGUAGUAAGUUUAUAUCAAUUGAGUAUCAUUACAUUGCUGUUUGGUUGAGAUGUUGGCAUGUUAGCUCGUAGCAGGGGAGUGCCAUUAUUCUAAUUGUAGUAGCCAUGCCUGCCCCGGUGGUGGUCUUGCAGUAGCUAGUGUGACGCUCCCAAAUCAGGGUAUCUUCCAACCCGACAUAUGGUGCUACACGAUACUACCAUUCACACAUAUAUUCAAUUGAAAAGUCUCAAAUGAACGAAUAUGUCUUCUGUAUAUACAAAAUAAUAUUAACAUUCCCUCAGAAUCUUUAUAACCAUUACAUUGUUCUUGUCAUAAUAUCAAAUAUAGUACAAUCAUUCACCCUAUACUAUUACAUAAGUAUACUACGGGUUCGUCUUUGCCUUGCCUUUAUCCUUUAUCCUUGUGUUCAUAUGGUUCAAGCAAGAGUGAGCAUGACUAGCUCUGCAAGUACAACAAUUCUAAUAAACAACAUGCUUGAAACAUAGUAAUCAUAUAUCUUCAAUAACUGAACAAUAGUUACGAAGUACUAUCGAUAAUUCAAAAUAGCACUUCUUUUCAUUCAAAACGUUUUACAACAAUAAUAUUCAGUAAAACAUCAAUUCUGGUCCGAGACCUUGAGCAUUUCAUAAGUUCUUUUGAAAAGGACAUCCUGACACUAAGUUCGUAAGUCUGACAUUACUUACGAGCACGUCUAGGUGAUCAGCCUAUAGUACUCUAUGUUGAUCAACACUACAUUCCUUAAACGUGUAUACGUUUAAGUUGUGGCAACCUCACGUGCCUGUCGUUAGACGACAAAACAUUUUAGCAUACUCAGUCUUCAUUUGAAAACCACACCAAUAUAACUUAGUAAACAUUGACCAUGCUUGAUAGAAACAUAAUAUAAGUCUAGCCGAAAGAAUUGGCUUGGACUUCAUCAUACAAGACUUCAUGCGUAAGGAUACAUGAAUUAUAAAGCUUGUCCAGACUGAACUAGAACAAGGGUAAGAAUACUUGCCUUUAGCGUCUGCUAUUGUUAUAACAUGUUCUUUUUUAAGUCUUUAAGUUUCUACAGUAAUUGAUAACAUCACAUAAAACAUUAGGUCAUGAAUGAACACACAGGGUUCCUAAUGUAUCUUACCUUUCUUCUCAAUCUAAUUAUGACUUAGAUUUGUUCUUAUUUGUUCUAGCUUUCCAUUCUGUUGUUCUUACAUUGUCAUUACCUUCAUAUUCAAUUGAUUAUCAACCUUUAAUCAUCAUACAUUAAGCAUCUAACAAUGCCUUAACAAUGUUAUAAUUAAGCUUUAGUUCAUUACCAAUGAGUUACCAUUCAUGCUAUACUUGCAAACUACCUUCUCUGUCCAAACCCUAGGGUUGGCGUUGCGCCGCCACCCUUCCUUCUUUAACCUGCGCUGCGGCGCCACUCUGUAGUGGGUAAAGACCGGACUCGGCGCUGCGGCGCGAGUCUCAACAUUAUAUGUCACGCUGCGGCGUGACCUUGCAGUAGGUCGUGAUACUGAACCCGGUGCUGCAGCGCCACCCUUUGCCCUUGGUUUGGCGCCGCGGCGCCAACUCUGUGCCUCAGAAAAAUUUGACAGACUUUUAAUUUUGCCAAAUUCCCGGACGCAUAACUUCUUCAUUAUAAGUCCGAAUUAGCUCGUUCAAGAUCCUACGGUUCACAAAUUACAUACUCUACGCGUUCAUGCAAGAAUUUUAUCUAUUUGACUUCGUUUGCUAAAAUUUCACCUAUUAGUUCAUUUUUAACAAAAAUGAUAAACGUUCAUGAACGUUCAACGCUCGUUUCUUCAUUCUAAAUCCUGUCAUUUUUGAGUCCGCAACUCUAUAAUGCCAAAUAUGACUUGUCUUAAUCGAAAACCAACGUUUCCGAGUUCAAACACAAAAUACGACUUCCAUUUUGAGAAUUUCACGAAUUCGACGAUUAUCGUCCAAUCGUGUGAAUUCCGGCGAACUUCAUUACUAAUGAUAUGAUCAUUGUUCUAAAUGGAUUCUAACCAUCAUAUGAACAUUUUAAGCUACUUAUUACACCAACUUAUUUUCAAGUUAGGUUUUGACUUAUUUUUCAUAAGUUCAUGACUUAACAACUUAUAAACUACAAUUUUCAUUUCUUAUGACUUAUUAUUGAUUUAAGUCCUUUAUCAAUGUUCUCACAUCUUAUCAAACAUACAAACUUCAUAUGACAAUCAUAUGAUAAGUUCAUCAUAAGUUUAUAACUUAUUAAGGUUCAAGUUACUUAUUCAUAACUUAUUCGGCUUAAGUCCAUUACUUAAUUACUUCCUACAUGUUCUUAACAUAUAUGCUUAUUAGACUAUACUUCUCUAUCAAGCUAUCAUGGUAGAGAUAAAAGAAUAUAGGACAAGAGCCUUACCCAUGAAGAACUAGUACUUCUCUUCCUUGAAGGUCUAACAAUUGUUGUUUGACUUAUAUGUGCUUAUUCUCUCUAACCAAUAAGUUACUUUGUAUUGGAAGUUGUUGGAUGAAAUUAAUCUAGAAACAAAUGAAAAUCUUAGCCUUCUAUUUAUAGGAAAACCAAAGUGAGGGCAUAACAGUCAUUAGGACAUCCCACCUCCUUUAAUCACCUCCUUAAUACACCCUCCUUACUAUUCAUCUACUUAACCACUAAGUAAACUUGCUAGCCACUCAUCUUUCUUGCUCAUCACAUAACAUAUCCUAUGCUUGGCCAUCACAUAAAGGUCUUGGUCACCAAGUCUAACCCACAUUCCCCUUGGUUUGCUCCAUGGAUCAUGAUUAACCCAUUGGAUCAUCACAUUGGGCUCACUUUAAUUAACUUAGAUUAUUCAUUUUGUGUUUGCAUUACUUUAGUUUGGACUUUUGAUUAACAAACAAUUGGGCUUGCACAUCAAUUCCUAUUGGACUUAUACAUCCUACAUAUUCCAUACAUUCAUUCACAAGUGGCUUAAAGCCUUAUUACAUAUACUAUACGUAUAAUUCUCGUAUUCUAACUCAUAUAUUAAUUCAUAAUAUAUGUUAUUAUAUUCUCCAUUCCUACUUGUAUAAUACUUCGUAUUAUACUUGUAUUCAAUACCUCGUACAAUACUUACGCAUCAUAAGAUUAUUAUAAGUUCUUCUUAACGCUUAAUAUUCCUAACGUUCUCUAAUUAAGUCCGCAUGCGAAAUAUUACGUUUUCCAUACUUAGAUUAUUAUUUCAUAAUCCAUCUCACCUUGAUAUUAUAACGUUAUGUAUUUCUCAGAAAUUCAAAAAUAAUUCCCGAGCGGAAAUUGAUGAAUAGUGUUUUUCAGAAAAUUUCUCGGAAAGCUUUUAUUUUCGUCUUGGAAAUUCAAACAUUUUAUUUCUCUCACGUAGUUAAAAUACUACGGUGUUCCGACGUUUCUAAGUUAUAGAACGACAUUCAUCUUAUCAACAUAUAAUAAUAAUAAAUAAUAUUAUUUUAUUUAUUAUUAAAAGUAUUUACAAAAGGUUCCAUUUUCUGGGGCGUUACACUCUCUCCCCCUUAUAAGGAUUCUAUCCCCAUAAUCUAGCUAUAAAAAAAAUAAUUACACAAACAAAUGAAUGUAACUCUUUUUCAUCUUUUCUUCCAAUUCCCACGUUGCUUCUUCUGCAUCGUUGUUCUUCCAUAUCACCUUCACGGAAGGUAUGACUUUAUUCCGCAGAACUUGUUCUUUUUUAUCGACAAUUUGAAUCGGUGUUUCCUCGUACGUUAAGUCCUUCUCGAUAUGAAUAGGCUCAUAUUCUAUCACGUGUUUAUAAUCUGGCUUAUAAGGACGUAACACAGAUACAUAAAACACAUUAUGUAUUCGCUCUAGGUCUGGAGGUAAUGCUAUUGUGUAAGCUACCUCACCCACCCGUUUUAACACUUCAAAAGGUCCUAUAAACCUCGGACUUAAUUUUCCCUUCUUUCCAAAGCGUAUCUUUCCUUUCCAGGGAGAUACCUUUAGAAAUACGUAAGAGCCUAACUCAAACUCCCUAUUUUCUUCUAUCUGUCUUGAGCUGCUAAGAGACGCAUUUAUAUCAUCUUGACAAUAUCCGCUAUUCGCUGUACCAAUUCUGACCCUAGCAUUCAGCAUUCUCCUGCUUCAUCCCAAUAUAAUGGUGUUCUGCAUUUCCUUCCAUACAAAGCUUCGUAAGGCGGCAUACCUAUGCUUGCAUGAUAACUAUUGUUAUACGCAAACUCUACUAAUGGUAGAUGAUCAUCCCAACUAUCCUUGAAAUCCAUGACGCAAGAUCUUAACAUAUCUUCUAACGUCUUAAUUCUUCUAUCGCUUUGUCCAUCAGUUUGUGGAUGACACGUCGUACUCAGCUUCAACUGCGUUCCCAAAUGCUCCUGUAGACUUCUCCAAUAGUUCGAUGUGAAUCGUGGAUCACGAUCUGACACAAUCGAUACUGGUGCUCCAUGUCUGGAAAUUAUUUCCUUAACAUAGAGUGUUGAUAACUGGUCUAAGUUAUACUUGACCCUAAUUGGCAAUAAGUGAGCCAACUUCGUCAAUUGAUCCACUAUUACCCAAAUCGCAUCAUACCCUUUCGUUGUAGUCAGAAGUCCGACCACAAAAUCCAUCAUGAUAUUCUCCCACUUCCACUCCAGAAUUUUCAAUGACUGUAACAAGCCACUUGGUCGUUGAUGUUCGACCUUAACUUUCUGACAAGUCAAGCACCUACUUACAUACUCAGCUAUCUCUCUCUUCAUGUUUGGCCACCAAAAACUCUAUCGAAGGUCUUGAUACAUCUUAGUACUACCAGGAUGAAUCGAAAACCUCGAACUAUGAGCCUGUUGUAACACCUGUUCCUUUAAUUUCGUCUCAUUCGGAACCCAAAUUCUUCCUUCAAAUCUUAAUAAUCCUUCAUUAUCAAGACUGUACUUAGUAUCUUUUUCAUUGGCUAGCCGCUCCUUUAUCCGGUCACACUCAUCAGAUUGUAUCUCCGUCGCAAACACUAUUGUUCCUGCUUCACUGGGCAACUUCACUUCUAAUUCCAUCCUAGCCAUCUCUGUUAUUAACUCAGUUUGAGCUGUUAAAUAAGAUAACUUUUCCCGACCCUUUCUACUUAAGGCGUCGGCAACUACAUUAGCUUUCCAGGGUGAUACAAGAUUUCACAGUCGUAAUCCUUUAUCAACUCCAGCCAUCUCCUCUGCCUCAUAUUCAACUCCUCCUGUGUGAAGAUAUAUUUUAGAAUCUUAUGGUCCAUGUAUAUCUCACAUUUUUCUCCAUAAAGAUAAUGUCUCCAUAUCUUUAGAGCAAAAACUACUGCGACUAGUUCCAGAUCAUGAGUAGGGUAAACUUUCUCAUAAUCCUUCAACUGCCUAGAUGCAUACGCAAUGACCUUGCUAUGCUGCAUGAGCACGCAACCAAGUCCUCUAUGCGAAGCAUCGCUAUAAACUACAAAAUUUCCUGUGUCAUCGGGCAAUGACAAAAUAGGCGCUUCACUCAACAUCUUCUUCAGUUAUUGAAAACUAUCCUCGCAUUUAUCUGUCCAUGCGUAUUUCACCAUCUUCCUUGUCAAGUUAGUCAACGGAGUAGCUAUCUUCGAAAAAUCCUGGAUGAAUCUUCGAUAGUAACCCGCUAACCCUAGGAAACUCCGCACCUCAGUCGGCAUUUUCGAUUAUUCCCAAUUCAUCACGGCUUCCACCUUCGCUAGAUCUACUGAAAUCCCCUCAUGAUUAAUGACAUGACCUAAAAAUUGUACCUUUUCUAACCAAAAUUCACACUUAGUGAACUUUGAAUACAACUUCUCCUUCCUUAGUAUCUCCAACACUAAUCUUAGGUGUUCAGCAUGAUCUUCUGGCGUCUUAGAAUAGACUAGAAUAUCAUCGAUAAACACCACGACGAACUUGUCCAAAUAUUGUUUGAACACUCUGUUCAUCAUAUCCAUAAAUGCAGCUGGUGCAUUAGUUAACCCAAAUGACAUUACCAGAAAAUUGUAAUGACCAUAACGAGUCCUAAAUGCUGUCUUUGGUACAUAUUCCUUCCUAACCUUCAACUGGUGAUACCCCGUUCUUAAAUCUAUUUUAGAAAAAUACGUAGCCCCUUUCAACUGAUCAAAGAGAUCAUCGAUCCUAGGCAAUGGGUAUUUAUUUGAUAAGUGGGUUUUAUACCUACUUAUUGGAUAUCAAUUCACGAGAACUAUGCCCAUCUCAAGUACAUUUUAGUGUGUUUUUAGUUGCAUUUUGUGUUAUUUUGCAUUGCAUAUACUGAGAACUCCUAUGGUGUGAAAGUACAGGAAAUUGGCAUAGCUCGACGAUAGUAGGUGGCAAUGAGGCUAAUGGAGGCAUAGCACUGAUGGACAAAAGAGCAAAAGUAGCAUAUCAAAUGAACAAGAGCAGCAUGACAAGGAAGCAGCAGCAAUAGAACUUGAAGAUUCAAAAUGCAUAAGCCGCGCGGCUACACAAGCUAAAAUACGCGCGCCCGAGCCAUCACCCGGACAGAGCUGAUUUUACACAUGCGCGCCCGCGCCAUGUUUACAAAGGGAUCGCGCGCGGCCGCACAUGUCAUUGACUGCAGUUGCUGACUUUAUUUAUUUUUGAAAUUUUAAGUGUUUGAGUUGAUAUAAACUAUUCUGGUUGGUACCAGACGCGAUUAUCUAUAGUUUUUACGAGUUUUUGAUAUUAUGAACUAGGGUUUUACACUUUGAACGAUUUCCAACGUGGAGCCAAGCAUAGACUUAGUAGUACAAAACCGCGCGCCAGCGCUACAUGUCUACAAGAGAAAACAAAUCCACUCGCGCGCCCGCGCCAAAUUCCCAUUGAUAAGCUACGCGGCUGCGCCCAAUAACAGUAGCAGAGUCGUGCCCCAAGCGCCUAAGCGCCCAAGCCGUUCAGCAACCAAGCGCUUAGGCGCCUAAAAACAAUAGCAAAAUCAUGCCCCAAGUGCCUAAGCGCCCCAACUUAGGCCAAAUCAAGCACCUAGGCGCUCUACAAGCCCAACAAAUUCUUUUUCCAACCACCUAGGCGGUCCAACCCAUGCAAUGUCAAGCGUCGAGGCGCCCAUAACUCCACCAAACCCAAAUCAGAUACAGAUACGCGCAAUAUCACAGUGUAGGAUUCAGAUACGCGUGGCCGCGCCUGGAAAUGCUUUAAAAAUCGUGUGCCCGCGCCGCAAGCAGUUCUGUACAGAAAAGGCACUCGCGCGCCCACGCCAUAUCUACAUUAAAGAGCCGCGCGACCGCGCUCAACACUAGAGGUUGAAAAAAAAGGGACAAAAGGGGUUUAACAGACGUGUCUUAACACUUCUCUUCUAUUAUUUGAAAUAACAAUAGAGAGUCGUGCCCCUUAUUCUCCACGUCACGCACCACUUCUCAUCUCCAAACGGUUACCAAUUACUCCAUUACCCACGAUUCUACCCACGAUCAAUAUCUGCAUUAUAAAACUUGGGUUUCUGACUGGGUUCUGCAAAAUUAGUUUGGGGGUAAUCAGUCAUCGGCUAUCACUCACUAUCAGGCAAGUAAUCUUCAUCUUCUCUGUCAAUUUCAAAUGGGCCUUAGGAGAGCACGCUCUAUCACUUCGUCAUCAUCAUCUUCCUCCAAUAACCAAGGUGAAGAUGUUGUGGAUCAUACAAAAUUUCUAAGUCUGGAAGCACAAAUGGAGUAUUACAGAAUCGUAGCCAAGACAUUUGUGAAGGAGCACAGUUUUAAACCUGAGAAGCAGGAUGGCCAACUGUGGGAUAUGAUUCGAGAAAGGGGAUGGGUUGGACUGACUACAAUCCCUAUGCCUGUUCCAAUGAGUAUCGUGCGUGAAUUCUAUAUUAACGCUAAAGACACAAUGAGUUUGUCUAUCUGUGGUUCAAGGAUUUCAAAUAGAUUACAGACCACCAGCAAUCAGAGAAAUUUUCAGGAUAGUUGACACACCACCGACUGGGUACAAUAAUUGGGUUGAGGCUGCCCGCUUUGAGACUUAUUUGGACGUAGUCAUUACUGAUUUGUGCAUUUUAGGCAUGAAGUAGAAUUGUACGACAGGAACAAAUCAGCCUAGAACUUUCCCAGCCUCAGCUUUGAAUCGGUAUGAUAAAGCGUGGAAUCUAUUUAUAUGUGCAAAGCUCGUUCCGUCAUCUCAUUAGCAUGAAAUCAUAACUGAGAGGGCUAUCAUUCUGUGGUAAAUAGUCACCGACAAGUACAAAUAUAUGGGCCACCUCAUCCAUCAAAAUAUGUUACGUUAUAUGCGGGGGAGCACUGUGGUGAGUAUUCCACACGCGUCUGUUGUCGCUAGCCUGUGUGCCCAUCAAGGCUGCCAAUUGGGAUAAUGAACAAAUGUUGAACCCGAGCCAAGAUAUCACUCAUGCUUCCAUCGCCAAAUUCGAGGAUUGGGGCUGGAAGUACACUGCACCCGAGAGGAAAAAAAGGCUUUAUCAUUCAACCCACAUUCUCAGUGCCUCCACCACAGCCCACUCAAGAAACUGAAGCGGGAACGUCGGCUCAAGCAACUGCUACGACUGUAGAUCGACAGCUCCGACGGUUGGAGCGUAAGGUCGAUGCUAUGUAUGAUAACUUUGCCGCAUUUGCUAUGGGGUUGACAAGAUCAUUGGCAGAGGCGUUUGCACAACAAGGGACGAUCCUUGAAUGGCCACAGUUUUGGACCGCCGUACCAUUUCUACCACCGGAUUCACCACCCCGAAGAGGGUGGUACAACUGAGCAGUAGGGGAGUUUUCUUUAACCCUUUACCUUCAUUCAUUGAGACAAUGAACAUUUUAAGUUUGGGGGUAUUGGGUAGUAGGGUAGUUGCAUAUAGAGUUUGCAUAAGUAGUUUAAAUUUUGCAUGUUUAUUUGUUAGAUAGCAAUUGCAAAAAAAAAAUUGGUUUUUAUUCAUUAUUACUUGUGUUAGUAUAUGUUUAGUUGCAUUUCAUGUGUAGUGCAUGUUUCACAAAUUCUGGCUUUAUAGAAAUUAUGUCUAGCCUAUAUUAAAAGUGAAUUUUGAAUGAUUGCUGAGUAUUUUUGAUAACAUGAGCUUAGAUAUAAUGUUUUACAUGAUGUAAUUCAUGAUGCUAUUUAGAUGCCUUUGGUUUGCACUGCCAUGUUCACAAUUGCUUGUAGGCAUAAGAAUUAUGUGUUGCAUUGCUUGAUAGAAAAUGUGGUUUUAAAAAGAGAAUUAUGUGGAAAAUGGAUUUAGAUUGUACAAAACAUUGAUAAUCAAACUUUGGGAACACAUGGGUAUGCUAUAUAUAUAUAUUAAAAAAAGUUAUCUUGAAACCUUCUUGAGCUAAAUGAUUGACUCUUUGGAAGGGGCGAGAUGGAGUGUAAAACGCACUCGCUGUAUAAAAAAAAUAAAAAAUAAAAAAAUAGCAAUAAACACCGCGAGAAAGAGCGAAAAUUGCCCUCGUGAGUAGAAAUAAAGCAAUUAAACCCAUUGUUGAACCUCGGUUUGUUUUGAUAUGUUGGAACAGUCUUUGUGCAUAAGUAUACAUGAAUCUUGAUUUAGACUGUAAUUUUCUGUUUUUAGCAGUUUAACAUGUGUAUUCUUGCUUUAUUCAAGUCUUGGUGAACACAAUACACACACACAACAUCUUUAUAUCAUAUAUGAAUUAUUUGAGUGUAUGACAUUAUGCCUACAGUUUGGUUUGAAUUUGUAUUCUCGAAUCUGGAUAAGUCGCUGAGGCAAUUUGGAUUGAAAUUUUGUUAUAGCUGGAAGAAUGUGAGAUUCGUUUGCAUCAUUAUAUAGUUGCAUAGCAUGUAUUUGCAUUUUCAGUGUUUAUGUAGUAUGCAGUGCUUGAGGGCAAGCAAUAGUUCAAGUUUGGGGGUAUUUGAUAAGUGGGUUUUAUACCUACUUAUUGGAUAUCAAUUCACGAGAACUAUGCCCAUCUCAAGUACAUUUUAAUGUGUUUUUAGUUGCAUUUUGUGUUAUUUUGCAUUGCAUAUACUGAGAACUCCUAUGGUGUAAAAGUGAAGGAAAUUGGCAUAACUCGGCGAUGGUAGGCGGCAAUGAGGCUAAUGGAGGCAUAACACUGAUGGACAAAGGAGCAAAAGUAUAAUGUCAAAUGAACAAGAGCAGCAUGACAUGGAAGCAGCAGCAGUAGAACUUGAGGAUUCAAAAUGUAGAAGCCGCGCGGCUACACAAGCAGAACUUGAGGAUUCAAAAUGUAGAAGUCGUGCGACUACACAAGCUAAAAUACGCGCGCCCACGCCAUCACCCCGACAGAGCUGAUUUUACACACGCGCGCUCGCGCUAUGUUUAAAAAGGGAUCGCGCGCGUCAUUGACUACAGUUGCUGACUUUAUUUUAUUUUUGAAAUUUGAAGUGUUUGAGUUGAUAUAAACUAUUCUAGUUGGUACUAGACGUGAUCAUCUUUAGUUUUUAUAAGUUUUUGAUAUUACGAACUAGGGUUUUACGCUUUGAACGAAUUCCAACGUGGAGCCAAACAUAAAAUUAAUAUUUUUGUAUUUCUUCUUUGGAAUUCAAUAAUUGUCUACGAACUAUUUUUAUGUUGCUGGAAUUUAUUGAGGAUUUGAACAUCACUUUUGGAUUAUAAUCAGCAAUUGGGUUUGAUCAAUUCUAACUUUUCUCACAAUUGUUUUCAUUUAUUUUCCAUGUGUUACUCUAAUCCCAUAAUGGCUUUUGGUUCAGUCAUGAACUAAACUCCAUUAUGGGAUUCUAACGGAGUUUGAUAUGUAGUCUAAUUGAUGGCUUGAUUGUUGGACUGUUUGUGUAUCAUCAUGAAUUUCUAUUAUGGUUGAUUUGAAUGCAUGAAUGAUUGAUCACCAUUCAUUUUAUGUGCUUGUAUGGAGUUGAAAAAUAACAUGCGAGUAUGGUUGUAAUCAUGAUAGCAUGCAUGCAUGGGGCUGAUUUGCUUAGCUUUAUAUUUUGUGAACCAGAUAGAAAUAUACUGUUUCACCGUGUGGGUUAUAUAAAGGCUUGUGCUUAAAUUCAAUAUGGCUGCAAUUUCAUAUAGAAAUAUAGUAAGGUUGGUUUUAUUGAUGAUUACAUGAUGUCUAUUGUAUGUGAAUGUUAUGUAAGUUGGUCAUAAUACAUUGAAAAAUGGUUAUGUCUAUAUUCGUGCUCUUGGCUAAUUUUCUAUGAUACGUGAGUAAUCUUUCAUGAUGGUGGUGAUUAGAUGAAAUAUUAAAUGAAGUUAGGAUCCCAUUAUUUCCAGAUUUGAAUUAUUACAUUAAUAUUCUUUUUUUAUUUGUUAUUUGAGUUUUGAGUAAUUUAUAAUCAUAAGCGUACGUUUAAGCAUAUAAGAAUAGUAACAUAGUUGAUGCAUAACAGUUUAAUUUAGAAACCUUUCUUCAUGGAUCGAUACUUUACUUACUCUGUAUUACUUGUUGACCCAUGUAUGCUUGCAUGAGUUAGAGUCCUUUUAUUAGAAGUAAAAAGGAAGCAACAUUAUUCUUUAUUGUUAACUUGUUCAACUCUCGAUAGUCGAUACAAAGUCUUAACAAUCUGUCCUUCUUCUUGACAAACAGUACAGGUGCUCCCCAGGACGAAACACUCGGUUGAAUGUACUUCCUAUCCAACAGUUCUUGUAACUGCACCAUAAACUCCUUCAUCUCCACUGGCGUCAUACGAUACGGUGCCUUAAAAAACUGGUGCCGCUCCUGGCACGAUGUCUAUUACAAACUCUGUCUUUCUAUCAGGCGGAAGACCCGAUAAUUCACUCAGAAAUACAUCGGUGAAUUCUCUCACUAUAGGUAUUUGUUCCAUGGUUGCUACCACUCUCUGGGUAUCAACAACAUGACACAGAUAACCUACACAUCCCUUCCUCAAUAAUUUCCUAGUCUGUGUCAUGAUUAAACAACACGAACGUCCCGGUGAUCUAUUCUCGUAAAAUACUACUUGUGGUUGUUUUAACGUUCUAAGGUUCACAAAUUUCUUCUGACAAUCUAUAAUUGCCCCAUGGUUAACUAACCAAUCCAUUCCGAGAAUUACGUCGAAUUCUCCUAACUUUAUCGGUAUCAAAUCUACCAAUAAUUUACAACCUCGUAUAUCUACGCAUCAACUCCUAUGAACAUCUUCAAUAGGAACUAUUUCUUUAUUUGCUACCUUAAUAUUUAAAGGUAUAGGCAACUUUUCGGGAAGUAUUCCUAAUCGUCUAGCAAAAUCACAUGCUAUAAACGAACAAGUAGUACCCGAAUCAAAUAACACGUAAGCAUUUAUGUCGUUGAUCAAAAUAAUACAUGCAACGACGUCCCCUGAUGCAACUGCAUCUGGAACUGUCAUAUUAAAGGUACGGCCCAUCGGCCUAUCCAGCUGUGCUGAACCACUAAUAGCUAACUUACCACCAUUAGUGCCCCAGUUCCCGUCCGUCCCCUUCUUCGGGCAGUUCUUUGACAUGUGGUCAGUUGACCCACACACAAAGCAUCCAUGAUUCUUUUUCAGACUUGGACAGUUAAGCGAGAUAUGCCCUUCCUUUCCACAAUUGUAGCAUACGGCCUUCCCCUUUAGACAGACUACUAAAUGAGUCUUCCCACAGGUCUUGCAGGCCUCCAUCCUCCUCUUUGGGUCUCCUUGCUUCACUCCGAUAUUCCCAGAGCUUAACGCCUUCCUCUUCUAUCCCUUGCCACUACCGCUGGCUCCUUUGACCUUUACUCCCUCAUCCACUUUCCCCUUGCUCUUCUUAUCCUUGUGGUAUUGACUUAGAGCCUCACUACCACCCUCGGCGAUUAUCACCUUCUCUAAAAUGGUUCCAAAUGAAGUACUUUGGAACACCGAAAUACGGGUUAUAGAGCCAGGGUUUUAAGCCCUACUCGAACCAUCGCGCCUUCCUAACCUCGGUAUCCACUUGGUGUGGAGAGAACCUCGCCAGUUCAUUAUACUUGGCGGCUUAUUGGGGAACCGUCAUGUCCCCUUGUUUCAGCUCAAGAAACCGCAUCUCCAUCCUUCCCUGCAUGCCCGUGGGAAAGUAGUUCUUGAAGAAUAUCUCCUUGAACCUCUCCCACGUCAGAUUCUCUAUCCCAACCCUAGCCUGAUUGGCUUCCCACCAAAAGUUGGCCUCUCCCUUCAUCAUAUAGGUUGCAAAGGCAACCUUUUGGGCCUCGUCAACAUUUUCUAUCACAAAUGCCUUCUCUAUUUCUUUCACCCGUGUUUGGGCUUCGAUAGGGUCCGUAGUUCCUUUGAACUCCGGUGGACCCACGCUCUUAAAAUCCUUAAAGGUAGUAGCUCGUGCUACUCCUGGAUUUACGGGGAUAUUCGCCCCUGUUCUAUUAAAUGUAGCUGUUAAAAGGUUAACAAACUCCUGCAUAGGGUUAACCGGACCUCCCUCCGGUUGAUUUACAUUAGGUCCUUGAUUACGUUGUACCCUUCUUGGCCACAUUUUGUUGAUACAAUAAACAACACAUUUCAUUAUUAUUCCUUUCUUUAUUAGUUAUUAUUCGAUAUUAAACAAUAACUUCAACAUCCAUUGCUCAUUAUUUUCCAUAAUACUACAUCGGUUAAAUUACACAGCCUAAGCUUAUUACAUUACUUUCUCGCUAUUACUUUCCAAGAAUUGGGAUUUACAAAAGACUACCCUUUGCUAUACAAUAGAGGGUUUUACGUCACUACUAAGUAUAAAAUAUUUACAUAUCUAAACUACUCUAGCUACUACUAGAUCACAUCUGCCUCAAGGCAUUAUCGAAAUCUAGCUUAGCAAGACCGGAAAUGAUAUCAUGGCUGAUAGUAUGCCUCGUCUACCCCACCUCUACAGGAUAACCAGCUACCUGCUGCUGGAAAUCUGUAUGAGAACUCCUACGAAUAUAGGACAUUCUCCCUAUCUUCUGCAUUUUGGUCUUUAGCUCCUCCUUGAGCUCAAAAACCUCAUGAUUCAACUCAUGGACUUUGUCCUUAGCCAAAAUCCUCACGUCGUGUUCCAGUUCCCACAUGGACUCCACGCUUGUCUUAUCUUCUAUAACCACCUACAGCUCUGCCUUCAGCUCCUUAACUUCCUAACAGUAAUGGAUAUUUCUAUCCAAUACUGACAUGAAUAAUGACAUCAUUGACUCCCAAGGAGCCAUCUCCGCUGCUAUAGCUACCGGGUCAAAGGACACUACCUCCACCUCCUCGUCUAUCAUACCAUCGAAUACUGACAUGAAGUUAGGAUCCUCUGAGUCUCCAGACUCAAUGACAACUAUCUCAAGCUCUGCUGCUAUGGGGUUCGGUAUAACCUCUAUUUGCUUCACCUACUCUUCACUAACUGCCUGUAAAUCUAACUGCAUUCCAUUUACUCCUGACAUCUACAAAAUACAAUUAUGUUGAUUAAUACACGUCAGUAGAAUAAUAAAAACACAUAACAUAAUCAUAAUGCAUUUUUAUAAGGUUAUUUUCUUCUUUUACUUCUUUGACUUCUCUUAAGGUUAUGACUUAAUGUUUUUAAUCCCCCCUUAAGUUUUAUAACCUAAUGCUUUGAUACCAACCUGUGACGCCUCCAAUUCCGGGUAUCUUCGAACCCGAGAGAUGGUGCUACAUGGUACUACCAUUCUCACAUAUAUUCAAUUGAAAAGUCUUAAAGGAACGAAUAUGUCUUCUAUAUAUACAAAAUAAUAUUUACAUUCCCCCACGUUCUUUAUAACCAUUACAAUGUUCUUGUCAUAAUAUCAAAUAUAUUACAAUCAUUCACCCUAUAAUAUUACAUAAGUAUACUACGGUUUCGUCUUCGCCUUGCCUUUAUCCUUGUCGAACCCUUCGGUUUGUUCUAUCUUAGCUGUGUUCAUAUGGUUCAAGCAAGAGUGAGCAUGACUAUCUCAGCAAGUACAACAAUUCUAAUAAACAACAUACUUGAAACAUAAGAAUCAUAUAUCUUCAAUAACUGAACAAUAGUUACGAAGUACUAUCGAUAAUUCAAAAUAGCACUUCUUUUCAUUCAAAACGUUUUACAACAACAAUAUUCAGGUAAAACAUCAAUUCCGGUCCAAGACCUUGAGCAUUUCAUAAGUUCUUUGAAAAGGACAUCCCGGCACUAAGUCCAUAAGUCCGACAUUACUUACGAGCACGUCUAGGUGAUCAACCUAUAGUACUCUAUCAACACUACAUUCCUUAAACGUGUAUACGUUUAAGUUAUGGAAAACUCACGUACCUUUCGAUAGACGACAAAACAUUUUAGCAUACUCAGUCUUCGUUUGAAAACCACACCAAUAUAACUUAGUAAACAUUGACCAUGCUUGAUAGAAACAUAAUAUAAGUCUAGCCGAAAGAAUUGGCUUUGACUGCAUCAUACCAGACUUCAUGCGUAAGGAUACAUGAAUUACAAAGCUUGUCCAGACUGAACUGGAACAAGGGUUAGAAUACAUGCCUUUAGCGUCUGCUAUUGUUACAACACAUUCUUGUUUAAGUCUUUAAGUUUCUACAGUAAUUGAUAACAUCACAUAACACAUUAGGUCAUGAAUGAACUUACAGGGUUCCUAAUGUAUCUUACCCUUCUUCUCAAUCUAAUUAUGACUUAGAUUUGUUCUUAUUUGUUCUGGCUUUCCAUUCUAUUGUUCUUACAUUGUCAUUACGUUCAUAUUUAAUUGAUUAUCGACCUUUAAUAAUCAUACAUUAAGCAUCUAAAAAUGCCUUAACAAUGUUAUAAUUAAGCUUUAGUUCAUUACAAAUGAGUUACCAUUCAUGCUAUACUUGUAAACUACCUUCUCUGUCCAAACCCUAGGGUUGGCGCUGUAGCGCCACCCUUCCUUCUCUAAGCCGCGUUGCGGCGCCACUUUAUAGUGGGUAAAGAUCGAACUAGGCGCUGCGGCACGAGUCUCAACGUUAUAUGCCGUGCUGCGGCGUGACUCUGCAGUAGGUCGUGACAAUGUGCCCGGCGCUGCAGCGCCACCCUUUGGCCUUGGGUUGGCGCCGCGACGCCAACUCUGUGCCUCAGAUAAAUUUGACAAACUUUUAAUUUUGUGAAACUCCCGGACACAUAACUUCUUCGUUAUAAGUCUGAAUUGGCUCGUUUAAGAGCCUACGGUUCACAAAUUACAUACUCUACGCGUUCAUGCAAGAAUUUUAUUUAUUUGACUUCGUUUGCUAAAAUUUCACCUAUUAGUUCAUUUUAACGAAAAUGAUAAACGUUCGUGAAUGUUCGACGCUCGUUUCUUCGUUCUAAGUUGGUAUCUAGUCAUUUUUGAGUCUGCAACUCUAUAAUGCCAAAUAUGACUUGUCUCCAUCGAAAACCAACGUUUUCGAGUUCAAACACACAAUACGACUUCCAUUCCGAGAAUUUCACGAAUUCGACGAUUAUCGUCCAAUCGUGUGAAUUCCGACGAACUUCAUUACUAAUGAUAUGAUCAUUGUUCUAAAUGGAUUCUAACCAUCAUGUGAACAUUUUAAGCUACUUAUUUUCAAGUUAGGUUUUGACUUAUUUUUCAUAAGUUCAUGACUUAACAACUUAUAACCUACAAUUUUCAUUUCUUAUGACUUAUGAUUGAUUUAAGUCCUUUGUCAAUGUUCUCACAUCUAAUCAAAGAUACAAACUUCAUAUGACAAGUUCAUCAUAAGUUCAUAACUUAUUUAGGUUCAAGUUACUUAUUCAUAACUUAUUCGGCUUAAGUCCACUACUUAAUUACUUCCUACAUGUUAUUAACAUAUAUGCUUAUUAGACUAUACUUCUCUAUCAAGCUAUCAUAGUAGAGAUAGAAGAAUAUAGGACAAGAGCCUUACCCUUGAAGAAUUAGUACUUUUCUUCCUUGAAGAUCUAACAAUUGUUGUUUGACUUAUAUGUGUUUAUUCUCUCUAACCAAUAAGUUACUUUGUAUUGGAAGUUGUUGGAUGAAAUUAAUCAAGCAACAAAUGAAAAUCUUAGCCUUCUAUUUAUAGGAAAACCAAAGUGAGGGUAUAAGAGUCAUUAGGACAUCCCACCUCCUUUAAUCACCUCCUUAACACACCUCCUUACUAUUCAUCAACUUAACCACUAAGUAAACUUGUUUGCCACUCAUCUUUCUUGCUCAACACAUAACAUAUCCUAUGCUUGGCCAUCACAUAAAGGUCUUGGUCACCGAUUCUAACCCACAUUCACCUUGGUUUGCUCCAUGGAUCAUGUCUAACCCAUUGGAUCAUCACAUUGGGCUUACUUUAAUUAACUUAGCUUAUUCAUUUUGGGCUUGCAUUACUUUAGUUUGGAAUUUUGAUUAACAAACAAUUGGUCUUGCAAAUCAAUUCCUACUGGACUUAUACAUCCUACAUAUUCUAUACAUUCAUUCACAAGUGGCUUAAAGCCUUAUUACAUAUAAUAUACAUAUAAUUCUCGUAUUCUAACUAGUAUAUUAAUUCGUAAUAUAUGUUAUUCUAUUCUCCAUUCAUACUCGUAUAAUACUUCGUAUUAUACUUGUAUCAAUACCUCAUACAAUACUUACGCAUCAUAAGAUCAUUAUAAUUUCUUCUUAACACUUAAUAUUCCUAACGUUCUCUAAUUAAGCCCGCAUGCGAAAUAUUAAGUUUUCCAUACUUAGAUUAUUAUUACAUAAUCCAUCUCACCUUGAUAUUAUAACGUUACGUAUUUCUCAAAAGUUCAAAAAUAAUUCUCAAGCGAAAAUUGAUGAAUAUUAUUUUUCGGAAAAUUUCUCAGAAAGCUUUUAUGUUUGUCUUGGAAAUUCAAACACUUUAUUUCUCUCACGUAGUUAAAAUAUUACGACGUUUCAACGUUUCUAGGUUAUAGAACGACAUUCAUCUUAUCAACACAUAAUAAUAAUAAAUAAUAUUAUUUUAUUCAUUAUUAAAAUUAUUUACAAAAGGUUCNNNNNNNNNNNNNNNNNNNNNNNNNNNNNNNNNNNNNNNNNNNNNNNNNNNNNNNNNNNNNNNNNNNNNNNNNNNNNNNNNNNNNNNNNNNNNNNNNNNNGUUAAUAAACCUUACGCCUUUUUGAAAUCUACCCUUUUGAGCAUGUAUUCACAACUAAGUUAAUUUUAUAAAUACGUAUGAAACAUUACACCAAAAAUGGCUUUUAGUGAAGGACAAAUCCUUCACAAGACAUACUAUAUCACUCACAAGUGAUUUAUUGCGAAGAAAUAUUUCCUUCGCACGAGUGCUAGCAUUAGACCUCCUCGCAAUUAGGUAUCCUUCGCUAAGUAGUAACUAAAUAUUUUUUGUGAAGGAUAUAUUGUGAAUAACUUUUUUAUUCACAAAUUGUAUUUAAUAAUGGAAUAUUGCUAUUUAGUGAAAGAUUAGUUUCCUUCAAAAAUAAUAUUUUAAGAAGGACUAUUUGAAAUUAGUGAAUAACUUUAUUCCCUUACAAAUAAUAUAUUGUGAAGAACAAAUUUAUUUAACGAGAGAAAAUUUUCCUUCACUAAUUAUAAAUUGAAAAUGUAUCUUCAAAUUAGUGAGGGAAAUAAUCCUUCAUUGAUGACUAACUAAUUAACUAGAAAAGAUUUAGUGAGAAAAAUAACCCUUCAUUAAAAUCCACUUCUCAAGUAAAAUCCUUCACAAAUUAUAUAUUUGUAAAAAAAAAUAUUAAUUGAUAAAUAAUCAAAAUUCAUUGCAAAUUGUAAUUAAUUUUCAAAUCACUAAUUUCAUUUUUUUGCUAAAAUUAAACUGAAAUUAAAUAAAAGGAAAUAUACAUAAUUCAUGGGGCAUACCACAUACAGUGACCAUCAAAGGACAUGCCCUAUGAUGUCAACAGUAAAUCAAAUGCAAAGAAGCAGAAUCAGAUGGCUAUAGUAAAUGUGCUAAAAUAAAGCAUAAAGCCUAAAAGGAUAUCAACAUACUAAUACAAUGUAAACCAAAUUUAAAAAGCUAGCCAAACCCAUAAAGACAGACCUAACCAAAUUUAAAAACCUAGCAGACCAACAACAAUAGCAACAGCAUUAGCGCUCAACCCAAUUAAGCUUUCCUAGCUAGCAGCAGCAAACAUUACAGUAGUUAAACAGCAGCAACCUAAUUAGCCACUCAUAGCAUAACCCAUACAUAGCAGCAGCAGUAUCAGAAGGGCCCAACAUCAUAGCAGUAGAAGCAGUUAAACAGCAUCAUCUGCGUUAGCUAGGCUCCAGCAGCCAAACCAACUAUGCAGUUCAGUAGCAGAGGCACUCAAAUCUGGAAAUCAGACCAUUGCAGCAGCAAGAACUCAGUUUUAUGGCCAGCAGCUGCAACAACAUCCCUUCGCCACAGCAGCCCAGAACUAGCAACCCAAACCAUAUGCAGACUAAAGCAAAUUUGCACCUGUAGGUGAAAUAAAAAGUCAUCACCAAGCAUAUGCAGUAGUAGAAACUACAGUAGCAUGCACUUUGCUGCAACACGAGAUUCACAACAUAAAAAAAAAAAUUGGGAGUAAAACAUUAGCAUGACAGACUGCACCAAUAACCAAAUUAUAUACUAAAGUUAUAUAAUGAGGAUUUUUCAAAAACAAAAGCUGAUACAUGUGAUUUAAGCAGAAAUUAACUAAUAUUGAACAUCUAAGAAGAGAUACAGGAAGUAACCAUGAUGGUGCGAAAGAUAUUUAAGCAUGCAUAUAUAAUGGAUAGAUAAUAAAUCCAAUUGAGAUAGCUGAAUUAUAUUUACAACAUAUUGAACAAUUCUUUCCCAAAAACAUAUAGAUAAAGAAAUAUUUUCCUACCAAGUGUUAAGUAUUGUAAUUUGGUUUGCAAGUAGAGACCUAUAUAGGAUACAUGAGAAAUAAACAAGGAUACCAUUAAUUAAAAGACACCAUGUAGAAGGCAAAAAGUUAUAAAGAUUUUCCUUUACAAACUUGAAAAUUUUGAAAUCUAAAAAUUAAUCACAUCAUUGACCAUAUCUUCUGAGGCAAAACCACAGGACAAGUACUGUAGUUUUGCCAUCCCUAUGUCAUUAUUUUCUUAACGCAUUGCACAUCCUCCCUCAUGCUAGCAGGAGCCUAUCAUGCUAGUAGGUUUUGAGACUACCUGUAGUAGUAUAGACGCACACCAAAAGAAAAGAAAAGAAAUAUUGGACCCAAAUACAUUAGAAAGGAAUGCUUUCGAUCUAGAUGAAAAAAAUUUAAAUCUUUCUAAUUGGGUGGGUGGUUAAUUCUACAAAGUUAACCAAGUCAACUCACUUGUCCACACUUUACAUCAUCACGUUUUAAACCUCUCAGUAUAAUUAAGACCCACAUUAUCACAUGGAAAUUCAACUACUUAAAAUGUGGCUAGAAAUUAAGUUGUCAAUUACUUGUCCAUGAUCCAAGAUUUUCUUAAACAUCUCAACACCAGUCACUGUAGUCUUCAGUGCUACACAUUGUGAAGUGCAAUAACGAAAUCAGGUUGCAAAAUUUAGAAAGAAAAAACAUGUUUCAUAUUAAUGUGUUAAAUAUACCUGCCUCAACCCCAAAACUUCAACCUCCUCAUCAGUUUUGAUGGUACCCUUCUCAAUACGCCUAGUGACAACAGUCCCACAUCCCUUUUCCACAUAAAAGNNNNNNNNNNNNNNNNNNNNNNNNNNNNNNNNNNNNNNNNNNNNNNNNNNNNNNNNNNNNNNNNNNNNNNNNNNNNNNNNNNNNNNNNNNNNNNNNNNNNUCAAGUAAAAAUAUCCCAUCAUAUAUGGCAGAAAAAUUACAGACUGAUAUAUAACGAUUUUAUAGAUGCAUCAAAAAAAGAAUGUUAGAAUAACCUGAAAGUACAACAGAAAUAAGUUCAAAUAAUAUGGCUAAGUACCUAAAUUGAAAAGACAUCUUCUAUUGGCAUUAAGAAAGGCUUUUCAAGUUGGCGAACAGGUUCAUUUAUGUACUCAUCCACGGCUUUCAUUGGUUUUAAUAUUUCCUUUUUCCUGAGCUCUUCAUUUGUCCCCUUGUAAAGCAGAAAAAGUCGAACCUCGCACAAUUGGGAUUUCAUCCCCAUGAAAUUUGUAGAAGGUAAGCAACUCUACAACAAUCGUUUGUACAAUUAGACAUUCAUCUUAGUUUUACUAAAGCAAGUAGCACAUGUAUAUAAAUCUGAUAGACAGCAAACACUGCACACUCUAACCACUAUAAAUUAAGUCAAUAUACCAUGGAGCUCUAUGUCAACAAGCUCAAGUAGCUCUGGGUCAUCAACAUCAUCAACUUUAUUGAGAAAACACACCAAAGAUGGCACACCAACCUGAGUAAAAUCUGUAACAAGCUCAUUAUCUUAUUACCUAUACUUGCUAGCUUGUCCAUUAGUAGAAUAUGCAGUAACCGGCCAUAAAGUGUGCUUUCUAGGCUGUGGAUUGGUCUCUAUGAAGAAAAGAGGCUGCCUAGCCAGCUGAACCACACAUGAUGAACAAAGAAUAUAUCAAGAAAUAAUGACACAUAAGCAUAAGUAAUACGAAAAGUACAAGGAAUAAAACAACAUUAUAUAAUGUAAACAGUCAAACUCCCUGGUUUAUCAUCAGGACAGUCCACCUUCAAAGCCAUGAUAUUAGACCAUUGGAUUUCAAUUUUACUCUUCAGACCACCAUCAAGAACUUCCCAAAUAAGCUUAUGCUUAGCGAAAUAACACUUUGCAACUAAAUCACCUUCAUGCCUAGACACAUACUGCCACCAAAUACAAUUCAUUUACUUGAUAAAGAUCUGACACAAUUCACAUAUAGUAGGAUAAAGAAUAUAACUAUUACCUCCCAGCGUCCAAUCUUUAAAAGUGAAGAGUAUAACAAUUACUUGACAAAGAUCUGACACAAUUCCAGUAAUUCAUUCCAUGUUGUUCCUAAUUUUUUUUUAAAAAUAUUGAAACAAUAAUUAUUAUAAUCAGGGGGCCUCUCUUUAAUUCCUUGUAUCUAAUUUAGACCUCAUUUGUAGUUGAAUUCUUCAUUUACAGAUAGAUUCAUAGUAUUUAUAGUGUAUUCCAUACUCUUAUAACUAUAAAUUAAAAUGAUGUAAAAAAAUUAAUAAAACAAAACAAUAUAUACAUAAAGAGAGAGAGAGAGAGGAUGAGGAGGAGACACAUAUUCUUUGGUGGCUCAUUCUCUGAAAUUCUAUGUCUUACCAUUCAAAACCAAAAUCAUUAAAACCGCAUAUAAAUAAAUUAUAUUUAUGAAUGUGUACAUAAUCACAAUGAAACAAAACAGAAACUUACAAUUUUAGCAGACCAAAAUUAUAAGCCGUUAGCUUAGUCAGGAUCUAAACUCAAAACUGAUUAGAGUCCAAAAAUUGUCAGUUAGGUUAUCGGAAUAUAAAUUUGUGGUGACAUGAUAAAGUGUUAAAUGAGGCUGAAGAGACCUGAACAUACACGUCCAUUGUUGAAGGACAUGCCCUCUUUGUUGGAGCUAUAAAUAAUCUGUAAAACUAAAACAGAAGAAGAGGAUAUUACUUUCAUAGCUAUAUUCAAACACAAUUAAAAUGCAUGUGAACAAUAAAAUGCAAAUCCAUAUUGUCUUCAACUCCACAUUCAAGGACUAUUUAUUCCUAUGAAGAAAUAAGCAUACAAACUAAUUAUCUAUAGUUUAUUGUUCUAGAACCAAGAAAACAUUAAAUCAGAUAAGUUAAUUUACAGUUGAUAUACACAACCAAAAUAUGGGUCUAUAACUAAAUUAUACUACCUCCAUUCCACAAAAAUAGUCUAAUUUGUUAUUAAUAAAUAAAUAACUCUAUUUCUGAAACUCAGUUUAAAAAAAACAAAAUUCAAAAUUUAAAAAACUCAAAGUUAAAGAUUUCUGAAACUCCACCAUCGGUCACAGUUACUAUAUUAAAUUCAGUUAUAUAUAUAAUAGAUAUCAAAACAGGGUACUAGAAUCUCUUUAAUCUCAUCUCAAUUCCCACCUUAGUGUUACCUACAACUAAUUUUGCAUAUGGGUAUCUUGCUUUUAAGUCUAAAACAUGUCAAAGUCUUGAAGGUAUAUACAAUUUCAACCCAUCACAUCCGCUCCAAUUUGGCAUGGAAAUGAGUUUCCAAUUUGAAGAUCUCCUUGAGAAACAACUUUAUCAAGAGACUUCUGAUUAUUUAGAGGUUCUAUCUCUUUUACAGAAGAAAUCAUAAUUUAUAAGAAGAACCCCCAAAUACCCCUUUAAAUGUGUUCACUUACUUUCAUCACAUCACGUGCUCAACUAACAUCUACCUACUAAUUACUAUCACAUGAGACUCUUUGCCUUUUCUUUUCCUGACCAUCUAUAUGAAAUAAGUGUGUAAGAUCAUAGUCAUAAGUUGCCAAACAGAGUAAAUAAGUUGAAGUUAUCUUUCCAAACUCAAAUCCUAAUGUAGAUUGUAAACGCGAACCAAUUUUCUUUAAAGAAGAUGGUCAGUUUUUUUAAUAUGACUUAUUAUUUUGCCUACGCAAUACAAGUUAACAACAAAAAGUGAAAACUAACUCAAGAAAAACAUAAUAGAAAUAAGUUUAGAAAUAACUAGAAAUCAAACAUAAAGAUCUAGUAUACCAAACCCAAAUUUGUUCUAUGAUGUGAUCUAAUUAGAAACAUUGUAGAAUCAUAUAUAUACUACUUAAAUGAACAUUAGGAUUUCCUUCCCCUCCCUCCUAUAGUAUGACAGCACAGCAAAUCCUCUCAGGUGAAACUAGUGAAGCUAACCUCAUUUAUAGAUAGUAAAGCAAUAGAUUUUCUUAAGCUGCUAUGUUAAAAAGAUACAAAGAAUCAAUAAACAGUAAUUACACCAACUUGUUAAGCAGACAAGGCCAACAGAGGAAAAAGGUUCAUCUAAAGCAAACCCCACACAUUCGAAUACUUUCAAAUUUUAGAUUCAAGUUAUCCAACACCCAAAAAACAAAUCAACACAAACAAGAAACUAGACAAAAUCACAUACCAAAUUCGUUGAGCUUCUUGAACCAUUCUCAGAACCAUGCCUCUGAUUAGUCACAUUAGCUAACGUCGGCCUUUUCUUCGCCAUUUGAGGAAGCAAAGCUGUCGCCUUUCUGAGAUUCUCCGCUUGCCGUUUAGCCAAAGAAGAUGUCUGUGCAACCAUGGCUUGUGAUAUUUACAAGCACUUGAGAGCAUCUGAGGUCCAUCAGAGCGGAGUCCAAACAAUUCGAUGUUCAGAAAUCGAGUUCGCACGCCAUGUAGAAGUAGAACAGGGCUAGGGUUUGAGAAGUGGAGCUUUCUCCUCUCCACCUUCCAUUUCAACCCUCUGCAACAAAAGUUAUUUCUGAACGCAUUGUGUGACAGUCGGUCGGUGGAGAAUCGAAAGAUCUGAAGCAACGAGAUGAUUUAGGUAGAGAGGUAAAAGAUUUUGUGUGAAAAAUGGGAGGGAGGGAAUACCAGAUCGGGGGAAAAUUAGUGGAAAAGUAAGGAGGGAAUGAAAUUGAAAUAUAGGAAAUACAUAACAUGAAUUAAAAUUGAGGGAGCUAUAGAGACAGUCGACUCCUGACCGUCGGUAUAGAAGGGAAAAUAGGCCCUAUAGCGACAGUUCUGCCUCGACCGUCGCUAUAACUCGUAGCUAUAGGUUGAUUUUCUAGUAGUGUCAAAAGACACAGACAUUGAUAGACUAUCAGUCAAAUUCAAAAGAACACAAGAAGUUGCAAACAGUUUUAUGAGUAAAUUCAAGAUCAAGUGACAUUUAACCUCUAUUAAGCUUUUAUGAAAAUGACAAACAAAAUCUAGAAUCUACAUAUAGCCAGUAAAAUAUACAAAGUGAACUAGCAAUAAGUAAUAAUCUUUUGCCAGGAAAAUUCGCAUAUUAGGUUGAGGGGUCAAAUAUCCACUUUCAAAAAGAAAAUUAGAAUCUCAAAGAUAAGAUGUCAAUUUUUCGAAAUUUAAGAAAAAGGCAGAAUAUGAAGGAAUAAUCGGUGUAAAUAGAAAAUCAACAAUCCGUCCAACUUCUUUACUCUUAUGCUUUACUUUUUCCAUGAUCUCCUUUAAUUAACAAAUUGUUCUUUUAACUUUUCCUUCCACUAAACAAAAUUAUGGUAUCUGUACCCCCCCCCCCUAAACAAAGAAAUCUUCUAUACAUUAAACCUAAGAAUUCACUUGUCUUAUAAUUUAUUUACACUUUUACAAUACCACAAGUAGCACUUUCCUCUGCCAUUAGCAUUAUCAACUUCAACAACAUUAGACCAUUGAUCAACACAAUUACAAAAAAACAAAGAUAGAUUAGGAAUAUAAUUUAGGCAAUUAGGAUUUCAAAUAUGAUAUAUACAUAUAUAUAUAUAUAUAUAUAUAUAUAUAUAUAUAUAGAGAGAGAGAGAGAGAGGGCUGAAUUGAGCCCUACAGCGUAAUCACUGGCAUCACACAUCAGCUCAAAUGGCAAAUCCCAAUUAGGUGCAGUAAUCACUGGUGCUGACGUUAGUUUUCUCUUUAAAUGCUCAAAUGCUGACACACAAGCCUCAUCAAAAUUAAAUUGUGCAUCCUUCUCCAAUAAACUGCAUAGUGGUUUAGUUAUCUUGGAGAAGUCCUUGAUGAAUCUGCGGUAGAAACCUGCAUGUCCCAAAAAACUGCGAACACCUUUUACUGAAGUAGGUGGUGGCAAGUUCUCUAUAGUUUCCAGCUUAGCCCUAUCCACCUCGAGUCCCUUCUUCAAAACCUUCUGUCCCAGUAUGAUUCCUUCUUGUACCAUGAAAUGGCACUUUUCCCAAUUCAUCACUAAAUUUGUCUCCACACACCUCUUCAAAACCAUAAUCAAAUUCUCAAGGCAUAAAUCAAACGAGUCCCCGAAAACUAAGAAAUCAUCCAUAAAAACCUCCACAUUCUGCUCCACCAUAUCUGAAAAUAUAGCCAUCAUGCAGCUCUAAAAGGUGGCUGGAGCAUUGCACAACCCGAAGGACAUCCUUUUGAAAGCAAAAUUGUCGUAUUGACAUGUGAAGGUUGUCUUUUCCUAGUCUUCUGGAGCUAUCACAAUUUGAUUGUAUCCCGAAUAUCCGUCCAGAAGGCAAUAGUACUCAUGACCUGCUAAUCUAUCCAACAUCUGAUCAAUGAGAUUCCAGGCAGGCACAGUUGAGCCAUGUCUAAGCCUAGGGCCAGCGCAGCUACGUAGCCCUCUGGCCAAGCCAAGGCUAAGCUGUUGCCUUGUGGUUUCUGUCCGGCAUGAACACAACAUUCACACAUAAUAUAUAUUAUCAUGUCAAAGGUCCUUUCGUGUCUCUCAAGUCAAUCUAGGUCCCUUCUUUUCAUAAUAUGGUUCUAAGUAGAACAUUUCAACAAGUUAAGGCCAUUCAAGGUCAUGAAACCACAAAGCUUAACAUGCUUGCUUUUUAAAUAUAUAAGGUAGUCAUAUAACUCAUAUUAGGCAUACUUAUGAGUAUUCAUAUUGCAUACAUGUAACUAUUUUAGUUAUUAUUUUGAAAACAUGCUUUAUUUAGUCUUAACUUGAUUUCACAACUCGUAACAUAGUAGGCAUAUAUAUGUAUGAUACAUUAGCAAGUCCAAAAGUAUCAUCAAAUAUGUUCAUAAAUGUCAGGUUCUAACUCUCAAAGUAGCAUGUUAACGUUCACAUUCAAAGUUCGUAUUUUCAUUAGUAAAGCUUACUAAUAAUUAUAACAUGUUCAUGCUUCCUUAUGAAUCAUAUAAACACAAGUUAACGGGUUAUUCAUGCAUUUCUAAACCAUACCAACAUGCUUGCAAAGUCAGUAUAUAAACAUGGCAUAUAUACAUAUCAAGUUCAUUUCUAAAGUUCUAAAUUCAUUUUAAACUAUACACUUUCGUUAAUCAUGUAUGCUAAUCUAGUAAACAUGCUCACAUUAGGUUACUGUACUUAUAUAUACACAUUACACAUGCUUGCAUGCUGGUUUAAGCUAUAGUAAUUGACCAACACUUAGCAAACUUUUAAAUAGAAGGCAAAAACUGAACACAGAGGCCAACGCAGCUGCGUUGUGCCCCAUUGUUAUACCGGCGUAGCUGCGCCACGUCAAGUUCAAACCACGAACAACCUACUUCGGCAGGAUUUUAGCCCAAACACAGAAAUCAUUCAUGAAUUCGAUUCUAAUCAGUCAUAUAACAGUUUAAACAUGCUUAUAUAGUUACAUAACAACUAUGUAAACUUUUCCCAACCCCAUUAUCAUCUAACUCCACAUAAUUUAAGAAAUUGGUAAUUCAAGAAUGGAAAUUUUGACAGAAACCAAAAAUGAAGAAUAAGAAGAAAUCUUAUACCUUUUUAAUUAGCUUGCUAAUUCACACUUCUUCUAUUGAUGUGUAUAUAAUUACUUACUCUAUAUAUGCUCUCAAUUUCACACUUAAGCAAUUCUCAGCAAUGCAAAAUGGAGAAGGAGAGUCCAUAUUUAUAGAAAAAAUAUUACACAGACAUUGUAAUUUCCCACUAAAUCAAAACCAUAGAUUGAAGGAUUGCAUGAAGGUUAUUAUUAAAGAGCUGUUAGAUGGUAGUUGAUUUACACUAUUAUGCCCACUCCCUUGUUCAUCGUUGUUAUCUAGUUUGCUAGCUUGAGCUUGGGAGAAAAAGAGGGAAAUAGGCCUCAGCCUUUUUGUUAUGCACGUGAAGAGAGAAAUGGGUCUUCCAAAUUGGGACAAACCAAACAACUCAGCAUUCUUGCAACACUUAGGCUAUACAUACACAAUCCCUACUCUUAUUGUAACGAUCCGAAAUUUCAAAUUGUAAUAUUAAAUAUUUAUUGAAUAAUAUAAUAUUUAUUUGAUGUGUCUAUAGUUGAAUGGAUGAAAUAAAUAUUUUAUUGAUGUGAUGGUUGUUAGUAAAUAUUUAUGAGUCUAAAUUUAUUAAAUAAUUUUUUAAAUUAAAUUAAUUUAUAAUUUAUAGAGUUAUAAUAUAACAUGAGAUGUUAUAUUGUUGUGUUGAUUUAAUAAUUUAGAUGGUAUAUUAAAUUAUUGAAUAAAGUUAUAAUGAAAAUUAUAAUUUUGUUAUAUUUGCUAAAAUGGUAUAUUUAAUUAAAAUAUAGUAUGUGAUUAAUUUAAUUGGUUAAUGUUGGAUAUGGAGAUCCAAAUAAAUAAUAUGUGAUUAUAAAUUAUAAACUAAAGUGUUUAUUAAAAUAAAUUAAAAAGGGUUUAAUUUAGAUUUUGCCAAAUAAGGCUUAAUAUAUUAAUUCUUUAAAAAUUAAAGGGUUUUGCCAAACAAAGCCUUAUGGCUUUUUGAAUUUCUAAUUUUUGAAUUUAAAUAAAAUAAAUAAUAUAAAUAAAAUAAUAAAUAUAAUAUAUUUAUAAUAUAUACGUUAUAUGUUGUAACUGAUGAGGCUUAUUAUGGCCAUAUCAGUUUUGUAUCUUUGAUAUUACGCAUACUAGUUGGUCAGUUGGAUAAUGGCUUAGUCUGAGGUUAGAGAGAAUUGAUAGAGAGCUUGAGAGAAUUGAGAGGAAACCUGUGAAUUUUCACAACAAUUCCAGUGAUUAGCAACGAUUGUAUUAGUAAUUGAAGGUAUGUUCUACAACUUUGAUAUUAUAUAUGUUUAUGAGUAUCACGACAAAGUUUUGUUAUGCUCUGUGAGUUCUAUUUCUUCCGAAUUAUUGUUAUGUAACUAAGUUAUGGUGGUUAUAAGUGAUAUAAUGUUAGAGUUUAUGUUUAAACAAGGAAGUUGCAUGCUAAUUCUGGUUAACAGUAGGAAAAUUUUGACAAAAUAUGUAUUUUUCAUAUGGCUUAUGUAAGUAUUAAUUUUGAUGAUCAAUUCGUAUGUUAAACAGCAAAUUUUGGCUUGUCUAUGUAAGUUCAUUAAGAAACUACGCCAGGCCUUUGUAUGGAGCAGCUGCGCCAUACCCUGGUUUGAGAUAUUGCCUUCUGCUGUUGCUGUAGACUUUGAAUAGCAACAUAACAUGGGUUAGGGCUGUGUUAGCAUGUCAAAUGAGUAAUGACAAGGUUACAACAACAUAGUGAAAUGUGGUUAGUAAUUCGAAUGUUAUAAAAAUUGGUAAACUAUGAAAGGGACGUGUUUUGAUUUAUUAAGCAUGAUAAAUAGUAAAUAGGCGUUGCGAAGAUUAACACUUGGAUUUUCUGAUAUUUGAAUAGUAGCUUAAGACUUGUGUUAACAUAACGAGUCUAACUAGAAAUGCAUAUGUUGUGGUAUUUUAGUAUAUCUAAUAGGUAUUGUGGUUCUAAACCUAUGUGUAGGUGAACAUGAGUUUAAUUUUAUAGCUUACACACGAGGCAAGUUUCUAAACUUCUCUUUUUUACAUUGAGCAAGCUUUCUAACUCUACAUUUUCGUUGAGCUAGUUCUAUUAUUACCUUGUGUAGCUUUAUUCUUUUGAUUGAGCAAGUUUUCUAUCUCAAACUGUUAUUGAACAAGUCAAUUAUUCCUAAAUUUUAUUUGAGCAAACUUUAACUCUAGUGUUAUUGGAAUUCUCAUUUUAGUUGAUUCAUUAUAACUUGUUUAUAGUUAAGCAAGUUUCUUAUGUUCUAUUCGUGUAUAAUGAACGCAGUUUUUGAACUCUCGUCUCUAUUAUUGAGCUGUUUUAUUUCUUUGCAUGAGUUAAUACUAUGUUGGGCAAGUUUUUAGUUUGCAGCUUGCUAUCAGUUAAUGUAUGUUCAGUAAUUUCAUUUCUAAUGUUAUAAGACCCUAACCUUAACUUAUUUAUUGUUCAAGCAAAGGUUUACCAUUUUAUUCAUUUUGUUGAAUACUUAUGCUCUAUAGUUAUUUCAAGCAUGAGUUUAAUAUGUAUAAUCAGUUCACCUAUGAUUCUCAAUUGUUUUAUGUUAUGUUGUUAUUAAACAACUGUUGUGUUAUCAAACACUAUUGAUUCAACUAGUUAUCUAGUUGAUGUUCGUUAAACUUCAAAUUACCCUAGAAGCUUAUCCAAACCAAACUUUCUUUGGUGCGGACUUGUACUCUAAAUACUGAGAUGAACAACCCUAUUAUUAUUAGGGGAUAAUUUACGCUUAGCGUUGAAAUGUUUGUGCACAAUACAUUGUACGAAGGGCUGAUCCCCCUAAAUACGAGGAGUCCUUAUAGUCAUAUGACUAUUAAAGUUGGAGUUGAAAGAUUACUCGCAACUGUGGACAUAGUUCAUGGUCUUAUGACCCUCAGUUAGAUAUAUUCCAUAUUUUGGAUUCUAGUUUUUGAUUAUCCUUGUUAGAGUACUAUUCAGUUUUGAUGAGCCUAUUCGUUGGCAAUUAUUAUUAUUAUUCUCCUGUUGAUUCAUUGUUAUAUCCAGUGAGCAAUUUUUUUUCUCACUCUUACAUAAAUAUUAUUAUUGCAGCUAAAGUUCGUAGAUGAGCCUUCAACUAGCAAAGGAAAGGGAAAAAUGUACAAGUGAUGCAAACUUGUAAUUUUUGACUAUUGUUAUGAUGUUAGUCUUUUAUUGUGAUGGUCAUAGACUUUUAAACAAUGAUGUGAUGUAAUAAUUUUAUUUCCGCACUUGAAUGAUGUUUAAAGGUUAGACAACCUGGGAAGAUUUUGUUUAAUAAUGUAACCCUAUUUAAAGGGAGGAUUUAUGGCUAAAUGUUAUUUUAUUUGGGUAGAAAUAUAGUAUGAAUGUAUGGAUAGUGAGCACCAAAUCUUGUGGGAAUAAAGUACCUAGAUUUGGGGGUGUCACACUUAUGUUAUAUUUUAUAUACAUAUCAGCCAUACAUGG